rnacentral:rRNA from 1 species
UACGGGGGGGGGCAAGCGUUGUUCGGACUUACUGGGCGUAAAGGGCGCGUAGGCGGCCUGUUAAGUCGAACGUGAAAUCCCCGGGCUCAACCCGGGAACUGCGUCCGAUACUGGCAGGCUUGAAUCCGGGAGAGGGAUGUGGAAUUCCAGGUGUAGCGGUGAAAUGCGUAGAUAUCGUAAGGAAGACCAGUGGCGAAGGCGAGUCUCUGGACAGUUACUGACGCUGAGGCACGAAGGCCAGGGGAGCAAACGGG